GAAAAUCCUUGAUGUUGAUCCUGGACAGAAAUGUACUAACGCUCAAUAUGGAAAUGAUGCAUGCAUUGGGAAAGAAGGAAACAGAUACAUUCUGCAUUAACAACGGGAGUGCAUGGACGUGUGUGACCUGCAUUAAUGACAAUUCAACCACCACCACUAACUAUUUAGAUACCUGCACAACACCAACUCCAACAACACAGAUCCCAACUACCAGUUUCAACAUCACAUCCAACAACAAACAUCACAACUACCAGUUCAACAUCACAUCCAACAACAAACAUCACAACUACCAGUUCAACCCCUGAUACAACUGCAGUUAAUACUGUCAGUAAACAGGAGAUGAUGGUAAAUGUAACUACUCCUCCAAUAAGUGCAGAUGGAACCAUUGAUCCUUCAAAAGCAUCAGAAGUCUUGAACACGCUGAAGUCCCUGCUGGGUGACAUGAAAAACAGCAAUAAAAGCAAUGCAGGAAUCGCCACAGGGGACAUUAUUGGUGUUAUCCAAUUACAAGACGAGAACACUAAAAGCAAAGACAUCGAUAUAUGCUACUCUUCACAACAGAACCUGAU